CUGACAGCCAGCUCGGUCCACUCCACCAGAGAUCAUGUGUCCUGAGAUCCCUGGCUGAGCAUCCUCGCGACGCACAAUCGGCGGGGUUUUGCGUCCCUGGAACGUGACGCCACAGAGCCGAAGACGAUGGCAUCGAGUUUGACUCGCAACGCCCCAAGAACAAAAUUGAUCGCCCGACUCAACAGCUCAGCCGCGCAGAGUUCAAGCCGAGGAAUGCUCUGCACUUUCAACGGGGCCACCUUAGUUUUUGCAUACAGCAGCGUAACCUUUGUUGACGAAGACUCUACUCGGAUAUACACCGCUGCAGCGUACGCUAAGUGAGAGGCAUCACAGAAGCCGUGUAGCUGCACCGUUUUUAUCUCCCCUCCUACGCCUACCCAUCUAGGAAUCGAAAUAUCUCUUGUGUAGAAGAGCAUUGAGUGAAACUUCUCACAAUCGCGUGCUAAAUCUGGAGGUAAAUUGUCGUCCCAGCUAACUUUUGCCAACCACAACUUUUGUAAGAUUAUUUUUCCUUGAACAAUAAAGGGUGCUAUCCAACCUAA